rnacentral:rRNA from 1 species
CCAAUAGCGUAUAUUAAAGUUGUUGCAGUUAAAAAGCUCGUAGUUGAAUUUCGGGAUCAAUGUUUCGGUCAUGCCGUUGGUAUGUACUGAUAUUAUUGGUUUCUCACCUUCUAAAGAACCGUAAUGCCAUUAAUUUGGUGUCACGGGGAAUUAGGACUGUUACCUUGAAAAAAUUAGAGUGUUUAAAGCAGGCUCACGCUUGAAUACAUUAGCAUGGAAUAAUGAAAUAGGACAUCCGAUUCUAUUUUGUUGGUUUCUAGGAUCGAUGUAAUGAUUAAUAGGGAUAGUUGGGGGCAUUAGUAUUCAAUUGUCAGAGGUGAACUUCUUGGAUUUAUUGAAGACUAACUACUGCGAAAGCAUUUGCCAAGGAUGUUUUCAUUAAUCAAGAACGAAAGUUAGGGGAUCGAAGACGAUCAGAUACCGUCGUAGUCUUAACCAUAAACUAUGCCGACUAGGGAUCGGAUGAUGUUAAUUUUUUAAUGACUCAUUCGGCGCCUUAC